CAACAUAGUCGAUAGAAUUAUAAUGAUUCCCUUGGGGCUAACAGUAUGAAUUAAUUUUAAAAUGGAAAUUUGAAAAAAAAAAUAAAAUGGAAAUUUGAAACAUUUAGAACUGGAAAGAUGGUUAUUAGUGAACUAGUCCAAACUCUGCAUUUUGAAAAAAAAAAUAUUUUAAAGGGUCUGCUUCUUGGAAAGCUGAAAUUCAAACAAUACGUAUAUUAGUCAAGGUUCCCCAGAGGAUUUAUUAUGGAAAUCGGC
rnacentral:lncRNA from 1 species